rnacentral:rRNA from 1 species
UACGGAGGGUGCAAGCGUUAAUCGGAAUUACUGGGCGUAAAGCGUGCGCAGGCGGUUUGUUAAGUCUGCUGUGAAAUCCCCGAGCUCAACUUGGGAAUUGCAGUGGAUACUGGCAAGCUGGAGUACGGUAGAGGAAGGUGGAAUUCCCGGUGUAGCAGUGAAAUGCGUAGAGAUCGGGAGGAACACCAAUGGCGAAGGCGGCCUUCUGGACCAGUACUGACGCUCAUGCACGAAAGCGUGGGGAGCAAACAGG